AGAGUUUGAUCAUGGCUCAGGAUGAACGCUAGCUACAGGCCUAACACAUGCAAGUCGAGGGGCAUCGGGAGGGAAGCUUGCUUCCCUUGCCGGCGACCGGCGCACGGGUGAGUAACGCGUAUCGAACCUGCCCCAUACCCGGGGAUAGCCUUGCGAAAGUAAGAUUAAUACCCGAUGGCUUCCUUUUAUCUCCUGAUAGAGGGAAUAAAGAAUUUCGGUAUGGGAUGGCGAUGCGUCCGAUUAGCUGGUUGGCGGGGUAACGGCCCACCAAGGCGACGAUCGGUAGGGGUUCUGAGAGGAAGGUCCCCCACAUUGGAACUGAGACACGGUCCAAACUCCUACGGGAGGCAGCAGUGAGGAAUAUUGGUCAAUGGGCGAAAGCCUGAACCAGCCAAGUAGCGUGCAGGAUGACGGCCCUAUGGGUUGUAAACUGCUUUUAGGCGGGGGUAAAGUGGCGGACGUGUUCCGCUUUUGCAAGUACCGCCAGAAAAAGGACCGGCUAAUUCCGUGCCAGCAGCCGCGGUAAUACGGAAGGUCCGGGCGUUAUCCGGAUUUAUUGGGUUUAAAGGGAGCGUAGGCGGGCUAUUAAGUCAGCUGUGAAAUCCGGCGGCUCAACCGUCGGCCUGCAGUUGAUACUGGUGGUCUUGAGUGCGCGCAGGGGUGUUGGAAUUCAUGGUGUAGCGGUGAAAUGCUCAGAUAUCAUGAAGAACUCCGAUCGCGAAGGCAGAUGCCCGGAGCGCAACUGACGCUGAGGCUCGAAAGUGCGGGUAUCAAACAGGAUUAGAUACCCUGGUAGUCCGCACAGUAAACGAUGGAUACUCGCGGUUCGGCUUUAUAGCGGAGCCGCUAAGCGAAAGCGUUAAGUAUCCCACCUGGGGAGUACGCCGGCAACGGUGAAACUCAAAGGAAUUGACGGGGGCCCGCACAAGCGGAGGAACAUGUGGUUUAAUUCGAUGAUACGCGAGGAACCUUACCCGGGCUUGAACUGCGGCUGCAUAGACCAGAGAUGGUCUUUCCCUUCGGGGCUGCCGCGGAGGUGCUGCAUGGUUGUCGUCAGCUCGUGCCGUGAGGUGUCGGCUUAAGUGCCAUAACGAGCGCAACCCUUCUCCACGCUUGCCAUCGGGUAAUGCCGGGCACACCGUGGACACUGCCAUCGUAAGAUGCGAGGAAGGUGGGG
rnacentral:rRNA from 1 species